rnacentral:rRNA from 1 species
AACGAACGCUGGCGGCGUGGAUAAGACAUGCAAGUCGAACGCUAAUACAAAGGUAGCAAUAUUGUUGUGUUGGAGUGGCGAAAGGGUGAUUAACACGUGGGCAAGUUACCGCGAGAUCUAGGAUAACCUGCUGAAAGGCAGGCUAAUACUGGAUAACACCUUGGAUCGGCAUCGAUUCAAGUUUAAAGUUGGGGCUCCGCAAGGACCUGACGACUCGCGAUACGCCCGCGUCCUAUCAGCAGUUGGCGGGGUAAAAGCCCACCAAGGCUAAGACGGGUAGCUGGUCUAAAGAGGACGACCAGCCACACUGGAACUGAGACACGGUCCAGACACCUACGGGU